CCCAGGUCAGGCGGGGCUACCCGCUGAAUUUAAGCAUAUCAAUA
rnacentral:rRNA from 12 species